rnacentral:rRNA from 1 species
AAAUUGAAGAGUUUGAUCAUGGCUCAGAUUGAACGCUGGCGGCAGGCCUAACACAUGCAAGUCGAACGGUAGCACAGAGGAGCUUGCUCCUUGGGUGACGAGUGGCGGACGGGUGAGUAAUGUCUGGGAAACUGCCCGAUGGAGGGGGAUAACUACUGGAAACGGUAGCUAAUACCGCAUAACGUCGCAAGACCAAAGAGGGGGACCUUCGGGCCUCUUGCCAUCGGAUGUGCCCAGAUGGGAUUAGCUAGUAGGUGGGGUAACGGCUCACCUAGGCGACGAUCCCUAGCUGGUCUGAGAGGAUGACCAGCCACACUGGAACUGAGACACGGUCCAGACUCCUACGGGAGGCAGCAGUGGGGAAUAUUGCACAAUGGGCGCAAGCCUGAUGCAGCCAUGCCGCGUGUAUGAAGAAGGCCUUCGGGUUGUAAAGUACUUUCAGCGAGGAGGAAGGUGUUGUGGUUAAUAACCGCAGCAAUUGACGUUACUCGCAGAAGAAGCACCGGCUAACUCCGUGCCAGCAGCCGCGGUAAUACGGAGGGUGCAAGCGUUAAUCGGAAUUACUGGGCGUAAAGCGCACGCAGGCGGUCUGUCAAGUCGGAUGUGAAAUCCCCGGGCU